rnacentral:rRNA from 1 species
GAUGAACGCUGGCGGCGUGCCUAAUACAUGCAAGUCGAGCGAACAGACGAGGAGCUUGCUCCUCUGACGUUAGCGGCGGACGGGAGAGUAACACGUGGAUAACCUACCUAUAAGACUGGGAUAACUUCGGGAAACCGGAGCUAAUACCGGAUAAUAUAUUGAACCGCAUGGUUCAAUAGUGAAAGACGGUUUUGCUGUCACUUAUAGAUGGAUCCGCGCCGCAUUAGCUAGUUGGUAAGGUAACGGCUUACCAAGGCAACGAUGCGUAGCCGACCUGAGAGGGUGAUCGGCCACACUGGAACUGAGACACGGUCCAGACUCCUACGGGAGGCAGCAGUAGGGAAUCUUCCGCAAUGGGCGAAAGCCUGACGGAGCAACGCCGCGUGAGUGAUGAAGGUCUUCGGAUCGUAAAACUCUGUUAUUAGGGAAGAGCAAAUGUGUAAGUAACUAUGCACGUCUUGACGGUACCUAAUCAGAAAGCCACGGCUAACUACGUG